rnacentral:rRNA from 1 species
UACAGAGGUCCCAAGCGUUAGGCGGAAUCACUGGGCUUAAAGCGUGUGUAGGCGGAUUUGUAAGUACCUUGUGAAAUCCCACGGCUCAACCGUGGAACUGCUUGGUAUACUGCUUAUCUUGGGCCACUUAGGGGUUACCGGAACAAACGGUGGAGCGGUGAAAUGCGUAGAUAUCGUUUGGAACGCCAAUGGUGAAAACAGGUAACUGGGAGUGUGCCGACGCUGAGACACGAAAGCCAGGGGAGCAAACAGG